AUUGAACGCUGGCGGCAGGCCUAACACAUGCAAGUCGAGCGGAAGCAGCGGGCUUGCUGGUGCAUGCGGCGGCGGAGGGGUGGGUAAUGCCUAUGAAUCUGCCAUGUCUUGUUGGAUGGGGUGCGCACACGGGCGCAAUUACUCCAAACGACCUUAUGUCGCACGUGGGGGAGCUUGGGACCUCCUGCCAUCUGGGGAGGCUAGGUGGGUUUCGCUAGUUGGUGGGGUAACUGCCUACAGAGGCGACAAUCCGUAACUGGUCUGAGAGGCUGAUCAGUCACACUGGAACUGAGACACGGUCCAGACUCCUACGGGAGGCAGCAGUGGGGAAUAUUGGACAAUGGGCGAAAGCCUGAUCCAGCCAUGCCGCGUGUGUGAAGAAGGUCUUCGGAUUGUAAAGCACUUUAGGUGGGGAGGAAGGGCAGUAAGUUAAUACCUUGCUGUUUUGACGGUACCAACAGAAUAAGCACCGGCUAACUUCGUG
rnacentral:rRNA from 1 species